ensembl:misc_RNA 7SK 7SK RNA
GAAUGUGAGGGUGAUCUGGCUGCGACAUCUGUCACCCCAUUGAUCUCCAGGGUUGAUGAUUCGGCUGAUCUGGCUGGCUAGGCGGGUGUCCCCUUCCUCCCUCACCGCUCCAUGUGCGUCCCUCCCGAAGCUGUGUGCUCAGUUGAAAAGGACGGCCUUCCCCAAAAAGAGAUGGAUCCCGGUCUUCGGUCGAGGGUAUAAGAGUAGCUGCCCUGCUAGGACCUCCAAACAAGCUCUCAAGGAAUAGCUAUUACUGUACUAGGUUCUGAUAAUGUGGUGUGGUGCUCAAUGAUGGUAUCAACAUAGAGUUGUCAUCUGACAACUCUCUGUGUUUG